CUUGGGCCUAGGCCUCGCUUCCUCUCCUGACCACAUCCUGCAGCUCACAGCCAGAGGCAGGUGCAGAAGGGGCACUGUCCUCUAUUGGCCUCAGCCUCUGUGGACCAGAUCCCUCUCAACUGAUCGGGUGCAGGCUGGGCUGCAGGCGGGUAGUUAGUGAGUGCCUGAGAUGUGCAGGCAUGCUCCAGGCACUGGGAACACAGCCUUGAACCAACAGACAAAACCGUCUGCAUGCAUGGAGCUUGCAUCCUGACAGGAGGGACAAGCAAGAAACGAAGAAAUAAAUCGACAGCAUUCCAUUAGUUAGCACCUAGAUAAAAGAGAUAUACCUAUAGUGUUCAAAGCUUGAGCUAUGAGAAAUAAAAGAGCAAAAGAUCGUUUUCAUCAAAAGGACUAUGAAGCAUGUUAUGUUUUACUUAACAAAACCAGUGCUAACCAUGUUACAUCCUCCAGACUUGAAGUGUGUGGGUGUGUUUAACAGACACAAUUUUACCUUUUUUUCCCUUUUAAGUUAUCCGUCAACAUUUUUCAGUCUCUCUUUAAAGAGCAUCUUAAAUUUGCAUAAUAGUCAUUCAUCUUAAUAAAAACAUUACACUGUUGUUGGA
rnacentral:lncRNA from 1 species